rnacentral:rRNA from 1 species
AUUGAACGCUGGCGGUAGGCCUAACACAUGCAAGUCGAACGAGUGGCGGACGGGUGAGUAAUGUCUGGGAAACUGCCUGCUGGAGGGGGAUAACUACUGGAAACGGUAGCUAAUACCGCAUACCAUCGGAUGUGCCCAGAUGGGAUUAGCUAGUAGGUGGGGUAAAGGCUCACCUAGGCGACGAUCCCUAGCUGGUCUGAGAGGAUGACCAGCCACACUGGAACGAAGCCACGGGCGAGACUCCACGGGGAGGCAGCAUGGGGGAAUAUUGCACAAUGGGCGCAAGCCUGAUGCAGCCAUGCCGCGUUUAUGAGGGAGGCCAUCGGGUGUUAAAGUACUUUAAGCGGGGAGGCGUUACCCGCAGAAGAAGCACCGGCUAACUCCGUGCCAGCCGCCGCGGUAAUUC